rnacentral:misc_RNA from 1 species
GUGAAUCAUCGAAUUUUUGAACGCAAAUUGCACUCUCCUCGGAGAGUAUGCCUGUUUGAGGGUCAGCCUAUAAAAAACCGACAUCGUGGCUGUUUCGCGGGGGGGUCGGUCGGAAAUUGGGUAAUCUUAAAUCUUUGGGUUUUAGGCGACUUAAAUUUUUCUUUUUGGUUCCAUGAACGUUUCUAAGAUUUAUUCCUUAAAACGUUUAAGGA